rnacentral:tRNA from 1 species
GCCCAUAGCUCAGUUGGUUAGAUCAUGGUGCUGGUAACACCAAGGUUGCAGGUUUGAUCCCCAUAUGGGGCA